rnacentral:rRNA from 1 species
AUUGAACGCUGGCGGCAGGCCUAACACAUGCAAGUCGAACGGUAACAGGAAGCAGCUUGCUGCUUUGCUGACGAGUGGCGGACAGGUGAGUAAUGUCUGGGAAACUGCCUGAUGGAGGGGGAUAACUACUGGAAACGGUAGCUAAUACCGCAUAACGUCGCAAGACCAAAGAGGGGGACCUUAGGGCCUCUUGCCAUCGGAUGUGCCCAGAUGGGAUUAGCUAGUAGGUGGGGUAACGGCUCACCUAGGCGACGAUCCCUAGCUGGUCUGAGAGGAUGACCAGCCACACUGGAACUGAGACACGGUCCAGACUCCUACGGGAGGCAGCAGUAGGGAAUAUUGCACAAUGGGCGCAAGCCUGAUGCAGCCAUGCCGCGUGUAUGAAGAAGGCCUUCGGGUUGUAAAGUACUUUCAGCGGGGAGGAAGAGAGUAAAGUGAAUACCUUUGCUCAUUGACGUUACCCGCAGAAGAAGCACCGGCUAACUCCGUG